GGGUUGUGAGGUUAAGCGACUAAGCGUACACGGUGGAUGCCCUGGCAGUCAGAGGCGAUGAAGGGCGUGCUAAUCUGCGAUAAGCGCCGGUAAGGUGAUAUGAACCGUUAUAACCGGCGAUACCCGAAUGGGGAAACCCAGUGUGACUCGUCACACUAUCAUUAACUGAAUCCAUAGGUUAAUGAGGCGAACCGGGGGAACUGAAACAUCUAAGUACCCCGAGGAAAAGAAAUCAACCGAGAUUCCCCCAGUAGCGGCGAGCGAACGGGGAGGAGCCCAGAGCCUGAAUCAGCAUGUGUGUUAGUGGAAGCGUCUGGAAAGGCGCGCGAUACAGGGUGAUAGCCCCGUACACAAAAGCGCAUGUGUUGUGAGCUCGAUGAGUAGGGCGGGACACGUGGUAUCCUGUCUGAAUAUGGGGGGACCAUCCUCCAAGGCUAAAUACUCCUGACUGACCGAUAGUGAACCAGUACCGUGAGGGAAAGGC
rnacentral:rRNA from 1 species